rnacentral:lncRNA from 1 species
UCUCUCUCACACUAUAACUUAUCAGGUGACCAUACGACACUUUAUGUUGGUUUUUAGUAUGUCUAGUAAACAAUCCGAGGUGACGUGGCAGAAUGAGUGUGUCUCACUCAUAUUUGAGCGCUUGAAGGCCCUUAAAAUUAUAUUUUUACAUUAGUUUUUUGUCAUGUGGAUCCCGCCUUCUUCUGCUUCCUACCUCAAAAUAUCUGGUGACUUUUUCCACCAUUUUCACAAGUUUUAAGCUUCACAAACGCUCAAUUCCAUAUAUCAACAGAAAAUUAAGAAGCCCAAAAUUCUUAAUGUUACAUUAAUUUUUAUUAUCGCAUUACUGGUCAUGCUCAAAGACAAGAAAGAUCCUCAAAAUGGGGUCACCAAAAAUAUCUCUGUUACGCAACAAUCCAAAUUUAACACCACAAAAUAAUGUCCAUCCAUUUCGCCCAUUAAUGGAAAAUCUUCAAUCUUCGGCAUCGACGGUGAUAAUGAAACCGAGGUUGUCUAAAAGAAGCUUAUAAAAUGAAAUUGGGGCUGCCCAAAUUUCACCUUCGUCCUUCUUAUUCAUCACUUUAAAAAAAAAGAGUAAUUUCCAUGUCUUUACUUCUGCCAUGAAUUCUGGUUAUAAAAAACAAUAAAUUCCAACACUUUUAUAUUUGGAGAGUGGGCAUGAAAAUAAUUUCAUACCCAUUCUCUGAUUCUUUUGAUCACCACAAAAUAGUUCAAAUUCUAAGUUUGGGAGAUGGAUGGUUGACGUUCUGGUGGCUGAAGGUGAGGAAGAAUGAGCGUGGAGGUGGUAUUUUUGGUGAAAUUUUGGAUGAAGAAGACAAAUAAUAAAAGGGGUGAAGGGACGGUGGGAUAAGUUCUCAUGAAGAUGAAGAUUAGGUCAGGGGUGGGGGGUGGGGGGCUAAGGGUUUUCUCAACUUAAAAAAUGGUUAUUAUUAUUAUUAUUUUAAAAAAUACAUGUGUCGUUUGCUGAUUUGUUCAUUUGCCACGUCAUUUGCUUUUGUAAUUCACGCAUGUGACCUGCUGCAUUCGGGUGUCCAUGAGACACUUAAACCAGCAUAAAGUGUCUAGAUGGUCACCUAGUAAGUUGGAGUGUGAGAGAGAUAUCUGGGACCAACUUUAGGUGUUUGUUUAUGUAUUCUGCCAAAUAAUAAUGGAUUAUAACUACUGAGUUGGCUCCAAUUGUUAUAAAUGAGUUACCUGAUUUAUUUAUAUUAUUUGUUAUUGUUACUAAUAUUGCGUACAGGCUAAAGUAAGUGAACCGCCUUAGCCUCGUCACUACUUCGUCGAGGUUAGGCUCAGCACUUACCAGUACAUGAGGUCGGUUAUACUGAUACUAUACUCUGCACUUCUUGUGCAGAUUUCGGAGUAGGUCCCAGCGGCGUACCAUAGACUUGCUCGGAUUUCAGCUACCAGAGGAGACUUGAAGUAUAACUGCACGGCGUCCGCAGUUUUGAAGUCCUCAUCUACUUUACUUUGGCUGUGUGUUUGUUCCAAACAACUUUAUUUUAUUCAGACCUUUAUUUGUAUUAUUCUAGAAGCUCGUGCACUUGUGACACCAAUUCUGGGAUGGUAUUUAGACACCGUUAGUUUUAUGAAUUAUUCACUAUAUUUCUCACCUUACUUCCGCAUUUAUUUUU